rnacentral:rRNA from 1 species
AGAGUUUGAUCCUGGCUCAGAUUGAACGCUGGCGGCAGGCUUAACACAUGCAAGUCGAACGGUAACAGGGGAAAGCUUGCUUUCUUGCUGACGAGUGGCGGACGGGUGAGUAAUGCUUGGGAAUCUGGCUUAUGGAGGGGGAUAACGACGGGAAACUGUCGCUAAUACCGCGUAGAGUCGAGAGACGAAAGUGCGGGACCGCAAGGCCGCAUGCCAUAGGAUGAGCCCAAGUGGGAUUAGGUAGUUGGUGGGGUAAAGGCCUACCAAGCCGACGAUCUCUAGCUGGUCUGAGAGGAUGACCAGCCACACCGGGACUGAGACACGGCCCGGACUCCUACGGGAGGCAGCAGUGGGGAAUAUUGCGCAAUGGGGGCAACCCUGACGCAGCCAUGCCGCGUGAAUGAAGAAGGCCUUCGGGUUGUAAAGUUCUUUCGGUGACGAGGAAGGUUGUUGUGUUAAUAGCGCAACAAAUUGACGUUAAUCACAGAAGAAGCACCGGCUAACUCCGUGCCAGCAGCCGCGGCAAUACGGAGGGUGCGAGCGUUAAUCGGAAUAACUGGGCGUAAAGGGCACGCAGGCGGCUAUUUAAGUGAGGUGUGAAAUCCCCGGGCUUAACCUGGGAAUUGCAUUUCAGACUGGGUAGCUAGAGUACUUUAGGGAGGGGUAGAAUUCCACGCGUAGCGGUGAAAUGCGUAGAGAUGUGGAGGAAUACCGAAAGGCGAAGGCAGCCCCUUGGGAAUGUACUGACGCUCAUGUGCGAAAGCGUGGGGAGCAAACAGGAUUAGAUACCCUGGUAGUCCACGCUGUAAACGUUGUCGAUUUGGGGAUUGGGCUUUAAGCUUGGUGCCCGUAGCUAACGUGAUAAAUCGACCGCCUGGGGAGUACGGCCGCAAGGUUAAAACUCAAAGGAAUUGACGGGGACCCGCACAAGCGGUGGAGCGGUGUUCUUUAAUUCGAUGAUAAACGAAGAACCUUACCCAGGCUUGACAUCCCUUGAAUUUUGUCGAAAGACGAAAGUGCUUUUAGAACAAGGUGACAGGUGUUGCAUGGCCGUCGUCAGCUCGUGUCGUGAGAUGUUUGGUUAAGUCCAUCAACGAGCGCAACCCUUAUGAAUAGUUGUAUUUUUCUAUUCAGACUGCCCCGGUAACGGGGAGGAAGGAGGGGAUGACGUCAGGUCAGUAUUGCCCUUACGUCUGGGGCUAGAAACGCGCUACAAUGGCUGGUACAAUGCGCAGCGAAGCGGUGACGUGAAGCAAAUCGCAUCAAAGCCAGUCCCAGUUCGGAUUGUAGGCUGAAACUCGCCUGCAUGAAGUCGGAAUCGCUAGUAAUCGCAGAUCAGCAAGCUGCGGUGAAUACGUUCCCGGGUCUUGUACACACCGCCCGUCAAACCAUGAAAGUGACCAACACCCGAAGUCCGAUUCGUCGGCCUAAGGUGGGGGGCAUGAUUGGGGUUAAGUCGUAACAAGGUAACC